UCAACUGAAGAGGAACUGUUAAUGACUUAUGGAGAAAGUUGCAAUGGCUGGUCAUCACAUGACUAAGUUGAACCUCAGGAAACAAUUGUCCAGUUACCAGACAAAUCUUACCUAACAUAAGCUUAUAUUUUUCAGCUUGUGACAGUACACGCGUCACCUGCUUCACUGAUCUUAACUCUGCCGCUGCCAGCUGUUUCACAUCAUCUGGCUAAAGUAUACCAGCUGUAGCAUCAUGGUUGACACCCACCUGUUGACGAGCCCUUUGACACCCACCUGUUGAUGAGCCAUCUGAUACCCACCUGUUGAUGAGCCAUCUGAUACCCACCUGUUGAUGAGCCAUCUGACACCCACCUGUUGAUGAGCCAUCUGAUACCCACCUGUUGAUGAGCCAUCUGAUACCCACCUGUUGAUGAGCCAUCUGAUACCCAGCUGUUGACGAGUCAUUUACCUCCACCAGUUAACUAUCAACUUACCUACUAAUCUGAAAAAUUAAGAAAAGUAGGACAAUCAUGUUUUCCAACUAUUUACAGCAAAAGUUUUAUCAAUUUAUCAUCAACAUUUAUCAUCAACAUUUAUCAUCAACAUUUAUCAUCAACAUUUAUCAUCAACAUUUGCUACAUCAGAUAAAGUCACCAUAAAAAAUCAUCAACAGAAUAAAAAUAAAAAAAAAAAAAAACUCUUCAGCACCAGUUUCCAGUAGUUGCAUUUUCUUGUAAUCCGACAAUAUUAACUCUCAGUUGUAUCCGGCACCGGUGAUGUUAACCAUCAUUAUUCUCACUUCACGUGACGCAGCGGCACCACUGAUGUUAACCAUAAUUAUUCUCACUUCACGUGACGCAGCAGCACCGCUGAUGUUAACCAUCAUUAUUCUCACUUCACGUGACGCAGCGGCACCGCUGAAAUUAACCAUCAUUAUUCUCACUUCACGUGACGCAGCUGCACCACUGAUGUUAACCAUCAUUAUUCUCACUUCACGUGACGCAGCAGCACCACUAAUGUUAACCAUCAUUAUUCUCACUUCACGUGACGCAGCUGCUGCUGCUUGUUCACAGAAUCUCUUCUGUUUACAUUUAUGAAAUAAAUUCGCUUUUAGUAA